rnacentral:rRNA from 1 species
AGUGAACGCUGGCGGUAGGCCUAACACAUGCAAGUCGAACGGCAGCACAGGAGAGCUUGCUCUCUGGGUGGCGAGUGGCGGACGGGUGAGGAAUACAUCGGAAUCUACUUUUUCGUGGGGGAUAACGUAGGGAAACUUACGCUAAUACCGCAUACGACCUACGGGUGAAAGCAGGGGACCUUCGGGCCUUGCGCGAUUGAAUGAGCCGAUGUCGGAUUAGCUAGUUGGCGGGGUAAAGGCCCACCAAGGCGACGAUCCGUAGCUGGUCUGAGAGGAUGAUCAGCCACACUGGAACUGAGACACGGUCCAGACUCCUACGGGAGGCAGCAGUGGGAAACAUUGGACAAUGGGCGCAAGCCUGAUCCAGCCAUACCGCGUGGGUGAAGAAGGCCUUCGGGUUGUAAAGCCCUUUUGUUGGGAAAGAAAUCCAUCUGGUUAAUACCCGGGUGGGAUGACGGUACCCAAAGAAUAAGCACCGGCUAACUUCGUGCCAGCCGCCGCGGUAA